UACAUGGGGUGCAAACGUUGCUCGGAAUUAUUGGGCGUAAAGCGCACGUAGGCGGUUCGUUAAGUCGGAUGUGAAAGUCCUCGGCUCAACUGAGGAAGUGCACCCGAAACUGGCGAGCUUGAGUACGAAAGAGGAUCGCGGAAUUCCCGGUGUAGAGGUGAAAUUCGUAGAUAUCGGGAGGAACACCGGUGGCGAAAGCGGCUCUCUGGAACGGUACUGACGCUGAGACGCGAAAGCGUGGGGAGCGAACAGG
rnacentral:rRNA from 1 species